rnacentral:rRNA from 1 species
AAAUAUUUUAAAUAUUUUAGUAGCGUACGGGUGAAUAAUACAUAAGAAUUUUCAUAAUAGUUUAGAACAAUUUUUUUUAAUUAAAAAAGUAAUACUAAAUAAAUAUUUAUAUCAUGUAUAAAUAUAAAGAUUUAUCGCUAUUAUCAAAGCUUAUGGAGGAUUAGGUAGUUGGUAAGGUAAUGGCUUACCAAGCCAAUGAUCCUUAGCUGGUUUGAAAGAACGGUCAGCCACACUGGGACUGAAACACGGCCCAGACUUCUACGGGGGGCAGCAGUGGGGAAUUUUGGACAAUGAGUGAAAACUUGAUCCAGCGAUAUCACAUGCGUGAAGAAAGCUGAUGAGUCGUAAAACGCUUUCGUCGAUGAAGAUAAUGACAUUAAUCGAAGUAAGAAGCCCUGGCUAAUCCUGUGCCAGCAGCCGCGGUAAUACAGGAGGGGCAAGCGUUAUUCAAAAUUAAUGGGCGUAAAGCGUGCGUAGAUUAUUAAUUAGAUUAUAAAUGAAAGACCAAAACUUAAUUUUGGAGCUAUUUUUAAAAUCGAUUUUAUUUGAGUGAGGGAUACGUUAGUAGAAUUCUUAUAGUAAAAGUAAUAUUUGUCGAUAAUAAGAGGAAUACCUUUGGCGAAGGCGACUAUCUAGAACUACACUGACAUUGAGGCACGAAAGCGUGGGGAGCAAACAGGAUUAGAUACCCUGGUAGUCCACGCAGUAAACGAUGAGUGUUAAAUAUUGGAAUAUUUCAGUGUUUAAGCUAACGCGUUAAACACUCCGCCUGGGGGAGUACGAUCGCAAGAUUGAAACUUAAAGGAAUUGACGGGAGCUCGCAC